AGAGUUUGAUCAUGGCUCAGAGCGAACGCUGGCGGCAUGCUUAACACAUGCAAGUCGCACGGCUGGGGUAACUCAGCAGUGGCGGACGGGUGAGUAACGCGUAGGAAUCUGUCUCCGGGUGGGGGAUAACGGUUGGAAACGACUGCUAAUACCGCAUGAUGCCCGAGGGCCAAAGGCGCAAGUCGCCUGGAGAGGAGCCUGCGUACGAUUAGCUUGUUGGCGGGGUAAAGGCCCACCAAGGCGACGAUCGUUAGCUGGUCUGAGAGGAUGAUCAGCCACACUGGGACUGAGACACGGCCCAGACUCCUACGGGAGGCAGCAGUGGGGAAUAUUGGACAAUGGGCGCAAGCCUGAUCCAGCAAUGCCGCGUGAGUGAAGAAGGUCUUCGGAUUGUAAAGCUCUUUCGACGGGGACGAUGAUGACGGUACCCGUAGAAGAAGCCCCGGCUAACUUCGUGCCAGCAGCCGCGGUAAUACGAAGGGGGCUAGCGUUGCUCGGAAUGACUGGGCGUAAAGGGCGCGUAGGCGGAUGACACAGUCAGGCGUGAAAUUCCCGGGCUCAACCUGGGGGCUGCGCUUGAUACAUGUUGUCUUGAGUUCGGAAGAGGGUCGUGGAAUUCCCAGUGUAGAGGUGAAAUUCGUAGAUAUUGGGAAGAACACCGGUGGCGAAGGCGGCGACCUGGUCCGAUACUGACGCUGAGGCGCGAAAGCGUGGGGAGCAAACAGGAUUAGAUACCCUAGUAGUCC
rnacentral:rRNA from 1 species